rnacentral:snRNA from 1 species
UUGGCUCUGAGGGCUGGG